UUUGUAUAAUGGGUCAGCGACUUAAUUUCAGUAGCAAGGUUAACCGUCUAGGGGAGCCGUAGGGAAACCGAGUCUGAAUAGGGCGAUUUAGUCGCUGGGCAUAGACCCGAAACCGGGCGAUCUAUCCAUGAGCAGGUUGAAGGUUGAGUAACAUCAACUGGAGGACCGAACCCACUGUCUUUGAAAAGCCAGGGGAUGACUUGUGGAUCGGAGUGAAAGGCUAAUCAAGCCCGGAGAUAGCUGGUUCUCCCCG
rnacentral:rRNA from 1 species